CCUACGGGUGGCAGCAGCAGGGAAUAUUGCUCAAUGGGGGAAACCCUGAAGCAGCAACGCCGCGUGGAGGAUGAAGGUUUUCGGAUUGUAAACUCCUUUUGUUAGAGAAGAUAAUGACGGUAUCUAACGAAUAAGCACCGGCUAACUCCGUGCCAGCAGCCGCGGUAAUACGGAGGGUGCAAGCGUUACUCGGAAUCACUGGGCGUAAAGAGGGCGUAGGCGGGAUAGCAAGUCAGAUGUGAAAUCCUAUGGCUUAACCAUAGAACUGCAUUUGAAACUGUUAUUCUAGAGUAUGGGAGAGGUAGGUGGAAUUCUUGGUGUAGGGGUAAAAUCCGUAGAGAUCAAGAGGAAUACUCAUUGCGAAGGCGACCUGCUAGAACAUAACUGACGCUGAUGCGCGAAAGCGUGGGGAGCAAACAGGAUUAGAUACCCCAGUAGUC
rnacentral:rRNA from 1 species